ACCUCUAUAGCUUAACUAAAGCAUUUUAUUGAAGAUAAAAAUAUCCUUACCUC
rnacentral:tRNA from 1 species